GCGAUGUCACCAGUUGACACCGGACGAGCGGCACCGUACCCGGCCAGCGACAAGACGGCGCUCAC
rnacentral:ncRNA from 1 species